rnacentral:rRNA from 1 species
AUGCACGCUGGCGGCGUGCCUAAUACAUGCAAGUCGAGCGAACGGACGAGAAGCUUGCUUUUCUGAUGUUAGCGGCGGACGGGUGAGUAACACGUGGAUAACCUACCUAUAAGACUGGGAUAACUUCGGGAAACCGGAGCUAAUACCGGAUAAUAUUUUGAACCGCAUGGUUCAAAAGUGAAAGACGGUCUUGCUGUCACUUAUAGAUGGAUCCGCGCUGCAUUAGCUAGUUGGUGAGGUAACGGCUUACCAAGGCAACGAUGCAUAGCCGACCUGAGAGGGUGAUAGGCCACACUGGAACUGAGACACGGUCCAGACUCCUAAGGGAGGCAGCAGUAGGGAAUCUUCCGCAAUGGGCGAAAGCCUGACGGAGCAACGCCGCGUGAGUGAUGAAGGUCUUCGGAUCGUAAAACUCUGUUAUUAGGGAAGAACAUAUGUGUAAGUAACUGUGCACAUCUUGACGGUACCUAAUCAGAAAGCCACGGCUAACUACGUG